ACGGCGAGUGAAGCGGGAAGAGCUCAUUCUGUGAAUCUGUAUGCUCUUUUGGUAUACCGAGUUGUAGAAUAUAGAAGCACAUCAGUGCGAAUUCCGGUCUAAGUCUCUUGGAAAAGAGCAGCUAAGAGGGUGAGACUCCCGUUCUUGGCUGGAAUUCAAACUUUAGCAUGUGGUUUCGACGAGUCGAGUUGCUUGGGAUUGCAGCUCAAAGUUGGUGGUAAAUUCCAUCUAAAGCUAAAUAUCGGUGGGAGACCGAUAGCGUACAAGUACCGUGAGGGAAAGAUGCAAAGAACUUUGAAAAAAGAGUUAAAGAGUACCUGAAAUUGCUGAAAUGGAAGCGAAGGAAACCAGUGCCGUUCUGUAUCAUUCUUCCGUCCUUGCUUGCGAGGGUGGCGCUGUGAUGCAGGAUAGGCCAGCGUGGGUUUGAGCCGAAGGAAGCAGCUCUUCAGGAGGCAGCGCAAUUUCUGUGCGAUUACUGUUGAGCUUUGCUUCGGCUUGGACUGAGGCUAGUCACUUGUGCUCGUGACGCUGGCGAAAUGGUUUUCUUUACCCCGUCUUGAAACACGGACCAAGGAGUCUAACAUAUGUGCGAGUAUAUGAGUGACAAACUCACAUGCGAAAUGAAAGUAACAGUGGUUGGACCUUCUGGGCACAAUCCGCCGGCCACAAUCCUUCGGGAGAAAGGUCUGAGUG
rnacentral:rRNA from 1 species